rnacentral:lncRNA from 1 species
UUGUAAUUUGUAAAACUCUAACGAGUACGCCUAAGAGGUAAUUUUUUUUGAGCAGUGCCUAUAGGCAUGAGCAAUUACUAGUGCUCAAUAACGCAAUAUAAUUUUUGAUAUUUACAUGGUAAGUAUGCACAUCCCUAAUAAUUUAGUUUAAUGCCUCCAAAAUUUAAACAAAUAUUUAUCCUAGGCUCCGUUUGGAUAUGUAGAUUUCAAAUCAAGAAAUUUUAUAUUUUAUUUAAUAAAAAUAACUUACAUUAAGAUUUAGUAGUCGACGUAGAGAUUUCGAGCUUGAAUUUGAGAGUUUUAUUAUUAUGUAAUAUGAUGAAUUUAAAAUAACAAAUUAAUAAGAGAGAUUUAAAAUCUUUUAUACAAAUGCUUAAAAUACCCUUCCCAAAGAAAAAGAAAGAAAUAAAAGUGUAGUUGUAUGAGAAGGAAUAAUUCCGGUAAUGAGCAAAAAUAUUAAGGAUAUUAUUGUAAUCUUACAUAUAAAAAUAAAAAAUAUUUAAUAAAAAGUAUAGUGCAUAAAUCCCUAACCUAUUAAAAACUAAUAAUUCUUCUUAGGUAAGGACCUCUUGUACUGAAGAUUUGAAGCUUCUAGCUUGAUUUUUUCUCACAGCUUUGUGGUCAACUCUCACCAUUCCUCCUUUCGCCUCCCCAUACGUUUUCUUACAUUUUGGUCCGUAAUACAUGUGAAUACACAUUGAUGAAAGUCGUCAUUCACGUAGCCGCCCGAGUAACUAUUCUCAGUCUAUGAGUACAAUAUGUAUACACGGGUGUACUGUACGUAACAUUUUUACAACCUGACAUUUACAAUAACACUAAAUCAUAAAGAUUAAAGACAAAAAAUUCACACAACAAAACCCAGAAGAAUUCAGUGUACAGACUUUCUAAAAUUCUUUUGAUUUUCAGAAUUUAUUCAAAAAAAUAUGUUCAAACUCCAAAAACUUAUUAAAUAUCAUUGCAGUCUAUGUACCGGUUGAGGAGGAAUUUUGCGUAACCUUUGUGUGCAGUACGUCAAAGACGCCAAUACAGCCUCCCGAGAACGUACAAUAGAAUGAGUAUUGACUUGUCAGAUGUUCAGAUUUUACACAAUUUGGAUACAGGAUACAGCGUUACAAGUUCUUUCCAGCCAGCCGGUUUGGUACUGAGUUUAGCUCCUAUGGCGUCGAUCCGAAUAUAUUUUGCAAAUAUUUUGAUGAUACAUAUUUCUAUCUUAUUGCUCUUAAUGGUAGUAGUAAUUCAAGUAUGUUAGUUCAUCUCAAAAUUAUUCCAAGAGUCACAGCCAUUCUCACAAGGACACAAAAAGAAACACGAAAUAUUUGGGACUGCCAACAAGAAACCUUCAACACUGAAGGAUCAAAAAAUGGAAAACCGUUGUUCAGGUGUGUAUUAUUUUGUAAAUGCUCUUAGUAAUGGUUUACAACAAUUUUGUUAGGGCGUCUAAAAAAUGCUACCGUAAUAUAGUCCUUUCAUGGCCGCAUUAAUUAAAAAUACAAUAAGUGCAUUAAAACUUAGAUUUAUUACAAAAAUGUGCUACAAGCAAAAAUGUAUGUUCAUUUUGAAUAUUUACUAUGUCAAUGUGUGUAAAAAAUUGGGCUAGUUGACAAUAAUUGUUUUGACAUUGUGUUGCAAAAGCAUUUGUUUCAAUUUUGUAAAAACUAUUGCUAGCAACAAUUUUUGACUUUGAAAAUUGAUUCCAAGUUUUGAAAACAUAAUGUUAGCAACAUUUUCUGACUUGAAAUUUGGUUCCAAGUUGAAAAAUAUGUUAACACAAAUAAAGAGAACAAAUUUCUGACUUGAAAAUUUGGGUUCCAACUUUCUGACAAAUUGGAUAGGCACCUAUUUUCUGACUUUGCAAAAUUUGGUUCCAACUUCUGAAAAAAAUUGGAUAGCAACAAUUUACUGACUUUGAAAAAUGUGGUUAACAGAGCUGAGCGUGUUGAAAUUGGUAUAAUAAUUUCCUGACUUUGAUAUAAAUGUGGUUGCAUACUUUUGCCAAAAAUUGAAUAGCACCAUUUUUCUCAUUUUCGACUUUGAAUGUGGGUUGGAACUUUGAAAAUUUGGUACAGUAUAAUUUUCUUUCUGACUUUUGAAAAUGUGUGUGUGUGGCCAACUUUUGAAUUAGAGAAUCAAAAAAAAAAUAAAGAAUAGCAACCCAUUUCUGACUUGACAUGGUAUUUUCAAAUUUGAAAAUUGGCGUAAGAAAACUAGCAAAACUUCAAAUUCCAUCUUACCAACUCGGUUAUAGUUCUUCCUAGAAGCUAUAAAAUCAUAUCCUUUACGCUCUCAUUUUUUAUCUUGGAAUCUUAUGGAGAAUCAAAGAACUCAAAGCAUUCUUCAUUCUUCAUUUUCCAAAAUUCCCCUUUGAGCCUUCAAUUUAUUCAUACAAGAGUUCUCGUGAGAGAGACAUUGUAAAAGCUUCAUUUGUAUAUCCUUCUCAAAAGGAGAAUUGUUAUUGUGAGAGAAAUCUCAAAUCUAUUUCAGUCGAUUGUAUCUAGAGGGUUGUUUUGACCCUGUUUAGGUGUGAAGGAAAUUUUCCACCUUGUGAGAAGAGUGUGUACUCUUGCGUGUAAGGUUUGAACUCCACCUGCACAGGAGUUUGGCGGAUUAGUGUUGAUUGAAAUCUUCAAGUGUUGUGCUUUGGGAGUGACGUAUGUCAGGAAGACCGAACCACUAUAAAUUAUAGCCGAGUUUUGAUCUCUUUCCUUCUCGUUGUAUUAGUGUGCUCAUAUUUAUACGCUCGGUGCAUUAUACUGCUUUUUAUAUCAUUUGGAAACUCUUAAUUCAGUAUAAUUUAUUAAAAGAAAAGUUUUGCCAACAAACCCUAUUCCCCCCCCUCUAGGGUUAAUUUCUGGGUAACAAGUGGUAAUCAAGCAGGACUCUACAUUUUUCGGUAUCUAAAACGAUCUAGGAUUAAAAAGAUCUAUGGCCACAUAAUAGGAACACAUAUGGCCGAAUGCCAUUCCAUACAUAGACUCUGCUUUCCACUUAUUCGUCCGGAUAGUAAUUUAUAGAUUAUUGUGAAGGCUAGAAUUAAAAUUUUAUAUUCAGUGCCAAUGAUUAUGCAUGUUUGUCGAGCAUUAACAAAGCAUGGACCUAUUGCGUCCCACAAAAUAACUGAAAGUGGAGAGUGGUUACUAUAAACCUCAAAGAAUGGACUAUCGUAGAUACAAAAGCACAUGUAACAAAAUAAUGCUCAAGCCAACUUACACCACUUUUUAUAUUGUGCCUUACAGACGUAACGCAUUAAAUAAAUCUCCGGUGGUGAAACGGCUAAGGAAAUUGUUGGGAUAAGACACGUAAGAAUCCACCCAUGCGAACUGGACCAUCAAGUAAAAGGAAUCAAAAAUAAGUAUGUUAGGUUCAUUAAUACGAAUUUUUAAAAAUGAAUCAAGUGAUACUAAUGUAUCUGCAAUGUGUUCUACCUCGUUUUUUUAACCGAUAUGAUGUGUUCAUUAAUGGAGUGUAAGAGUCGCGCUGUAAAGUUUGUAUACAAUGUCGAAAUGGUGCGAGUAAUGCAUUGCUUAGGUGUCAUUAUCCACAAGAAGUUGGGAGACCAAACGUAUACCUGCCAUUGAAGAAUGCCAAAAGUAGCCCAUCACCAAAAAUGGGUCUUGAUGAAUUGGCUUGGAUCUCUCAUACACUGAAAUCACCUUGAGAGCAAUGAGGAAAAUGACGAAGGUAAAAAAAGAGAGAAAUUGCUUUCAAACCUCAUCAGCACAAACAAUGAUGAACCUCAACAUGAAUGAGGAAGUGAUGAAGAUAUGGCUCUCUUAAACGAAGAUUUACAGAUUUCAAAAGAGGUCAUUUCCUAGAAGACAAGGACGACCGAAACUUCGACAAAAAUGAAGACAAAAGAAGGACCCCCCAUCAUUUGCUUUGAAUGCAAAAAGCCCGGUCACAUGAAAGUUUGAUUGGCCAAAUCUCAAGAAAGAUCAAACGAGAUAGAGAAAUAUCAAAUUUGAAAAAUUCAAGAAGCUUUUCGGCUUGGGGAGAAAUUGACGUUGACACAUCCGAUGAUGAGUCCGGUGAUUCAAGAAGUGGCAAUUGUGUUCUUGUUCCUCAAGAAGAUAUAAAAAUGAGGUACAAUCUCGAAUCCAUUCCUUAAAUGAUUUACAAGAUGAUUAUGAUGAUUUAUAUUAGGGAAUCAUUGAAAUUAAUAACAAACAUUGCAUGCUUUAAAACAAUUGCCAUCACUUUCUAUUGAAAUAGAAACCUUUUGAAGAAGCUGGCUAAUGAGUGACAAGUAAAUAUUGAACUACUGAUACAAUUUUAGAUCUAACAAAAUGUCUUGGAAAAAUUUACAAAAGUCAAAAGAUUUUGGAUCUACUUCUUGGAUCACAAAGAUGUGUAUAUGAUCCGUGCGGGAUUGGACACAAUAUUCAACUAACAAAAUUAUAUAAAUAUCUUUGUGUGAAUCAACUUCUUUUUCGACCACAAAAAUUUCAUGCACAGAUUGCAAUCCUAAGGGCAUACUCAAAAACAUGCUAUGUGAAGAAUGUGUUAGGUAAAGGAUUAAAAAACAAUAUGGGGACCUAAGAAGAAAAAUGCUACUAACAUUCAAGGACCCAACCAGAUUUGGGUACCAAGACAAUGGUUGAUCUUGUAUAAGGUUGCUGAAUGAAUUCAAAGAAAGGAGGAGGGGGGGGGGGGGGGGUGGUACUUGUAGUGGAUGCUCAAGACAUUGACUCGGAGAAUAAAUCCACCUUUCGCAUACUAAUCCAAAGGAUGUGGAUUUGUGACCUUCGAGACAAUAGCAAGGAAAAAUCUCGUAUAGUUAAUGGGGUAGGAACCUUCUCCUUUAUAUAAAAUGUUUACUUGUUGAUGGAUUAAAGCAUAACUUUACUUAGUAUUAGUCAUAUGUGAUACGGAAAAUAAAGGCAUCUUUGACAAAUAUGUGCCCAUAGAAAAAUAUCAAAGAUGAUAAAACUUAUUUAAUUGUCAAAGAAUUGAAAUGUAAUUUUUUUUGUUAAAAAUUGAUGACGUUGAGCCAACAAAUGGACUUGCUUAUCAGCCAUGAAUGACAAACGGUUGGCUAUGGCCAUAAAGGCCUUGGGCAUUCUCUAUAGAUCUUAUUUCAAAACUUGCUAAAAGGAUUGGUAAUUGGGCUAACCAAAAAUUUCUUUUGAAAAGAUAGUUGUGUGGAGCAUGUCACCAAGGACAACAAACAAAGUGUCUUUUAAGUCAAAAAUAUCGUUUCUUCUCUCUCUUCUAACAUCUAAGGCCUCUACAACUUCUACACACAUGGACCUUAAUUGGUCCUUCAAGACAAUGAAGUUCGUGAGGAAAUUAUACAUUCUUGUGAUUUGUGAUGAUUUUUUCUCGAUUUACAUGGUAACAUUUUUAGCUCACAAAAAUUAAGCAUUUUCCUCAUUUCACAAAAACUUGCCGACGUCUCAAAUGAUAAAGAACUAAGACCUCAAAAUUUCUACAUUAGAACCGAUCAUGGGAAAGACUGAAAUUGAGUCUUUUUGCCAAAUUUUGUGAUAUCUCGGAUUGGACUAAUUUCUCGGCACCUAGGACCCCUCAACAAAAAGGCUUGUUGAAAGAAAAAAUAGAACUUUGGAAGAAAUGGCAAGAACAAUGCUUUGCGAAAACUCUCGUCCAAAAUAACUUUGGGCUUAAAAGCUGUGAACACGCAUGCUUUAAUUUAAUCGAGCCAUGAUUUAGGCCAAUCUUAAAAGACACCUAUGAGCCUUUGGAAAGAAGAAACCAAAUAUUGGGUUCUUUCAUUGCUUUGGAUGCAAUGCUUAUGUCCCUAAAUAUGGGAAGGACAACUAGGAAAAUUCGAUCAAUCGGAUGAAGCUUUUUCUAGGAUAUUCAAUUACAACACAGCUUUUUCGAGUUUUUAACAAACGAACUUUAGUAGUUGAAGAAUCCUGCAUGUUGGUAUUUGAUGAAUAUAAUGAUCCUUCUUUUCAAGUGCUUCAAGAAAGUUAGGAAUUGAAAAGCAUGGAAAAUAUUGAAAUCUCUCAAGAACGCAGAUACUCAAGGAGAAGCCACUGAAAAACAAAUUGCAACUAGAGGUAGUACUUACCUCAAAUUGAAAAUCACGUGGGAAACCUCAAAAGCAAAGAAGGUGGAAGCUCACAUCUCCCAAAGAAUGGAGAUAUGUUUUUCACAACCACCAACAAUCUCAUUAUUGGUGAUCCAUCAAAAGGGUAACUACUAGAACUCUAUAAAAUUUAUUGGGCAUCUUGCAUUCUAUUCUCAAUAGAACCUAAAAUUUUCAUGAAGCUGAAUUUGAUGAAUAUUGGCUUCUAGCUAUGCAAGAGAACUCAAUCCAUUCGAAAGAAAGCAAGUUUGGACUCUAGUACUAGGCAUCAAAUCAUCCUCAUAUUGGCACUAAAUGGUAUUUAGAAAUAAACUUGAUGAAUCCGGAAUCAUUGUUAGAAAUAAAGCUAGACUUUUGGCCCAAGGAUAUAGUUCAAGAAGAGGAAUAGAUUUUGAUGAUAAUUUGCUCUCCCGUAGCUAGAUUGGAAGCUAUUUCGAAUGUACAGCCUUUGCAUGCUAAUAUGGACUUCAAUUAUAUCAAAUGGAUGUAAAAAGUGCAAUUCUUAAAUGGAUUUAUUACCGAGGAAGUGUUGUGCCACCUCGCCGGGUUUGGAGAAUCAUGAAUUGCCCAAUCAUGUCUUUAACUUUCAAAGCACUCUAUGGACUUAAGCAAGCUCCAAGACGUGGUAUGAAAGACUUAGCAAAUAAUUUAAAUGAUACUAGUUUUUGGCAAGAGGGAAAAUAGAUAAUACACUUUUUAUAAAAAUUGAAGAAUAAGGACAUGCUCAUCGUCCAAGAUAUGUUGAAUGAUAUUAUAUUUGGUGCUACUAUGAGAAUAUUGCAAAGAAUUUGGCUAAAGAGCAUGCAAAGGAGAAUUCGAUGACAUAUUGGGGAGGCUAACUUUCUUCCUUGGACUAACAAAUCAAACAAUCAAGCGAAGGGACAAUUUAUAAUCAGCAAAUACACAAAGGAGCUUCCUCAAGCGUUUGGCAUGAUAGAAGCAAAACCGCUAGGCACCACCGAACCCCAUAUGGGCACAUCAAUAAGCCUUGACAAAGAUGAAAUGGUAAAAAUGUUGAUGAACAAGCCUCUAAUCGAGGUAUGAAUUGGCUCUUUUGCUCUAUUUAAAACAAAACGGAAGUAGGCCGGAUAUCAUGUUUUAGUGUAUGCCAUAUGUGCUAGAUUUCAAUCAUGUCCUAAGGAAUCAACUUUAAGUUUGCUGUGAAACGCUAUUUAGAUAGCUCAUAGAAACGUAUGACUUAGGAAUAUUCAUCCUAGGGUAGUUGCAUUUGAAUUAAAUGAUUCCUCCGAUGCCGACUAUACGCCGGAUUGUAGAUAGAUCGAAAGAGCACAAGUGGCACUUGCAUUCCUAGGACACUCUCUAGUGUCAUGGUCUAGCAAGAAACAAAAUUCCGUUGCUUUAUCAACCGCCGAGGCGGAAUAUGUGGCCGCGGAAGUUGUUGUGCCAUUCCUUAUUGGAGGAAACAACAAUGGAGGAGUAUGGUUUAAUUUGAUCAUAUUCCCAUCAAAUGUGAUAAUACACGUGCUAUAAAUUUUGUCUAAGAGCCCCAAUUAAUACAACACUCAAAGAACAAACCUAUUGAAAUUCGACAUCUCAUUUUUUAAAGAUCACGUCCCAAAGGGGGAUUUGACUUCAAUAUAUUCCUACCGACAAGCAUUGGCGGCUAUUUUUAACAAAACCCCUUGAUUGAAAAAAGAGAUUUUGCUAUAUUCCGAACUGAACUGUAAUGGUCUAAACCAAGUGAUAUUUUUGGAUCUUAAAAUAAAUUUAUAAGUAUAAGUUGAGUCAUAGUUGAGAAAGAAUAGUUCGGGACUGAAUGUAUUCAAUGCCUAAUCUCCGACAAACAAUUUUUUUCCUUUCUUUGAAUUGUUAUCUUGAUUUGAUAUGUGAUAAAUAAGAUUAUCAAAAAGCUGAGGUACUGAUAUUAUGAUAAGAACUAUGAGAUCUCUAUAUGCUUAUAUGCGAAAAUGUAAGUAUGUAAUGUCUGACAAUGAGAGUUGUUCUUUAUUUUGAUAAAACUAUCCCUUUUGAUAAUUUCAAAACUCCUCUAAAUGAAAGAAUUUUAAGAUUUGAGGUUUUAGUGCAAAAAUCUUUUGGUUUAUUCACCACUCAAAUUAUCUUUCGUUAAACAUCCUAUGUGUUUAAUUGGUAUCUAAUACUAGCAUGUGAGAUAACAAGAAAAUAUUCUUGGUCAAAAAUUUUUUAAAAAAACUCCUUCAUUAUGUUUUCAUAUGUGAUUGUUUGAUUAGUUGAAAUACAUGCAUAUCAUCAUACUUAUGCACCAACUUAGGGGAGCACUACAUAUUGGUACCACUUUGGUAGGGUAUCCUACAUUUACCUUCAUUGAAAUUAGACAUCAUAUCUUUAUUUCGUGAUCCUGUCAAAAAGAAGAUGUAGACCUAGAUUUUAUAAGUACUGGAUUUCAAUGGGUUGACAUCUUCAUAAAACCACUUCAAGAGAUCGUUCUGCAACCAUUCGAAGAGACCUUGGUAAAUGUGUAGACCACAAAUAUUAACAUAAUAUUUUAGGUUAUUUAUUUUAUAUUUUUUUAUAUAGAAUAAUUUACUAUUAUUCUGAAUCAAAUUACCUGUUUAAGUUUUCAAGAAAAUCUUAGCUUUUUCGGACUUCAACACGAACUCUCCUGGUUGCUCUUGUAAGACGGUUUUUAUCAUCUCUAGUUUUCUGAAUACUCUUUUUCCAUAUCAUUAGCAUAUGAUCGACAUUUCUCUUCACUCUUUAUUCCUCCUGCUGAAGACUUCUUUCCUUCGUUGCAAGUUUCAAACUUGAGAGUCCUUAGCUCUUGACUGCAUUUCCCUCGACUUGUAACGUCGAGCCAUAAUUUGCAACGAAGAUGCACCCUGGAUUACUGAGUGCCAUAGGAGUCCUUAAUGGCUUCAAUAUCAAUUCCAUAUUCCUCUAUAACUUUUCCAUCUUGUGGAGUACUGAUUCCUUUAGGCUAACUGAUGCAGCAAACUGCAUCAUCCGCAUCACAGAGCCAUUGUUAUGAUAGGUCUUUUUUGAGAUAAGGGUUAAUGAACGCCAGAUUCUGGUUGUACAUUAGGCAUAUCAUUCACGAUCAAAUUUCUUUUUGAGAAGAAGAAGAAGCCAUUUUUGAAAACUAAGAAAGAAACUGGUUCAGUAAAUGAAAUUGUUCUUCAAAAAGAACCGAAGGAGAAAGAAGAAGAGAACUAAUUUUUGGGAUCUAGGAAAGAGAUUUUUUCAGACAAAUAUAGCCUAAAAGUCGUCCUCUGUGCACAGCCGCACCUACCAUUGACAAACCAAUCCUAGAUUACGAUUUUAUUUUUAUUUUUUAUUUUUAUUUUUAUUUUAUUUUUAUUUUUUAUUUUGUUAUUUUUAUUUUUUUAAUUUUUUAUUUAGAUCACAUGCGUCAUCACAGCGUUCACUCGCACCUAUUGCCCCUGUCAAUCUCAUCUAUAAUUCACUUGUCUUCUCUCUACCAACGCAUAUUUCUGUUCUCAAUUCUUCAUACUCUGAAAGCUAAAAAACUUUUUCUUCCUAGUUUCAGCCUAUCAAUCUCUUCUUAAGAGAAAGAUUAGCAAGCGCAUCUAAUUCAUACCAUCUAAAUUCUAUAAGAAAGAUGCAACAUCACAAUUGAUUCCAACAACAGAAGCAAGACUAUUCUUGAUCAUGUUCAUCUAGAAGCAAGAUUUAUUCUUGAUCAUGUUUCUAAGAUGGAAUAAUCUUUCUCUUCUUUCUCAUCAGGAUUUUUCCUCCAUGAUAUAAAAUCUGUGACAGAAGAGAUAAAGCACUAUGAUAUGGGGGAUCUCCUCAUAUCUUUUCCUGAUUGCUUGCUCACCUCCUGGAUUCAAUUGAGCAAGCUUUCACUCAUAUUUAUCGUUAGAUAUACUUUCAUCAUGAAAGGGGGAGCAUCUUCGUAAGGGGGGCUUUUUAUUAUCCUUUUUGUUGAUGUCAAAAGGGGAGAAAUAAAGAUAUAUAAAAAAUUUUUGUUAAUUCCCAUAAAUAGCU